UACGGAGGGGGCUAGCGUUAUUCGGAAUUAUUGGGCGUAAAGAGCUCGUAGGCGGCUUGUCGCGUCGGAUGUGAAAGCCCGGGGCUUAACUCCGGGUCUGCAUUCGAUACGGGCAGGCUAGAGUUCGGUAGGGGAGAUCGGAAUUCCUGGUGUAGCGGUGAAAUGCGCAGAUAUCAGGAGGAACACCGGUGGCGAAGGCGGAUCUCUGGGCCGAUACUGACGCUGAGGAGCGAAAGCGUGGGGAGCAAACAGG
rnacentral:rRNA from 1 species